AGUCGUGAGGAAGUAGUGUAGUAAUAGCUGCAUUAUUUGACGUUAGCGACAGAAGAAGCACCGGCUAACUCCGUGCCAGCAGCCGCGGUAAUACGGAGGGUGCGAGCGUUAAUCGGAAUUACUGGGCGUAAAGCGCAUGCAGGUGGUUUGUUAAGUCAGAUGUGAAAGCCCGGGGCUCAACCUCGGAAUUGCAUUUGAAACUGGCAGACUAGAGUACUGUAGAGGGGGGUAGAAUUUCAGGUGUAGCGGUGAAAUGCGUAGAGAUCUGAAGGAAUACCGGUGGCGAAGGCGGCCCCCUGGACAGAUACUGACACUCAGAUGCGAAAGCGUGGGGAGCAAACAGGAUUAGAUACCCUGGUAGUCCACGCCGUAAACGAUGUCUACUUGGAGGUUGUGGCCUUGAGCCGUGGCUUUCGGAGCUAACGCGUUAAGUAGACCGCCUGGGGAGUACGGUCGCAAGAUUAAAACUCAAAUGAAUUGACGGGGGCCCGCACAAGCGGUGGAGCAUGUGGUUUAAUUCGAUGCAACGCGAAGAACCUUACCUACUCUUGACAUCCAGAGAACUUUCCAGAGAUGGAUUGGUGCCUUCGGGAACUUUGAGACAGGUGCUGCAUGGCUGUCGUCAGCUCGUGUUGUGAAAUGUUGGGUUAAGUCCCGCAACGAGCGCAACCCUUAUCCUUGUUUGCCAGCGAGUAAUGUCGGGAACUCCAGGGAGACUGCCGGUGAUAAACCGGAGGAAGGUGGGGACGACGUCAAGUCAUCAUGGCCCUUACGAGUAGGGCUACACACGUGCUACAAUGGCGCAUACAGAGGGCGGCCAACUUGCGAGAGUGAGCGAAUCCCAAAAAGUGCGUCGUAGUCCGGAUCGGAGUCUGCAACUCGACUCCAUGAAGUCGGAAUCGCUAGUAAUCGUGGAUCAGAAUGCCACGGUGAAUACGUUCCCGGGCCUUGUACACACCGCCCGUCACACCAUGGGAGUGGGCUGCAAAAGAAGUAGGUAGUUUAACCUUCGGGAGGACGCUCACCACUUUGGGUCG
rnacentral:rRNA from 1 species